CCUCGUGCAGGUGCCUCCCCUCUCCAAUGAAGCCUCUCCCGUCCGCCCGGCCCAGAAACUGGGCAACUUACUGGUUUCGGCAUUUUCGGUUCCUGGGACACACUGCUGUUUGGGCAACCCUUUGUCAGGGCCUGUUAUCUCCCACUUGCAGAUCCAGGGCAUUUCAGAGGUCAGAGAGAGGAGGGAGGCCUCUUCUGAGAUUUUGACCUCUAUUCAG
rnacentral:antisense_RNA from 1 species